CCUACGGGAGGCAGCAGUGAGGAAUAUUGGUCAAUGGGCGCGAGCCUGAACCAGCCAAGCAGCGUGAAGGAGGACUGCCCUACGGGUUGUAAACUUCUUUUAUAAAGGAAUAAAGUGAGGCACGUGUGCCCUUUUGUGUGUACUUUAUGAAUAAGGAUCGGCUAACUCCGUGCCAGCAGCCGCGGUAAUACGGAGGAUCCGAGCGUUAUCCGGAUUUAUUGGGUGUAAAGGGAGCGUAGAUGGGGUGUUAAGUCAGAUGUGAAAGUUUGCGGCUCAACCGUAAAAUUGCAAUUGAUACUGGCAGGCUGGAGUGCAGUUGAGGUAGGCGGAAUUCGUGGUGUAGCGGUGAAAUGCUUAGAUAUCACGAAGAACUCCGAUUGCGAAGGCAGCUUACUAAACUGACACUGACGUUGAGGCUCGAAAGUGUGGGUAUCAAACAGGAUUAGAUACCCCGGUAGUC
rnacentral:rRNA from 1 species